rnacentral:rRNA from 1 species
GAUGAACGCUGGCGGCGUGCCUAAUGCAUGCAAGUCGAGCGAACGGACGAGAAGCUUGCUUCUCUGAUAUUAGCGGCGGACGGGUGAGUAACACGUGGAUAACCUACCUAUAAGACUGGGAUAACUUCGGGAAACCGGAGCUAAUACCGGAUAAUAUUUUGAACCGCAUGGUUCAAAAGUGAAAGACGGUCUUGCUGUCACUUAUAGAUGGAUCCGCGCUGCAUUAGCUAGUUGGUAAGGUAACGGCUUACCAAGGCAACGAUGCAUAGCCGACCUGAGAGGGUGAUCGGCCACACUGGAACUGAGACACGGUCCAGACUCCUACGGGAGGCAGCAGUAGGGAAUCUUCCGCAAUGGGCGAAAGCCUGACGGAGCAACGCCGCGUGAGUGAUGAAGGUCUUCGGAUCGUAAAACUCUGUUAUUAGGGAAGAACAUAUGUGUAAGUAACUGUGCACAUCUUGACGGUACCUAAUCAGAAAGCCACGGCUAACUACGUG